rnacentral:misc_RNA from 1 species
GAAAUGCGAUAGCUAGUGCGAAUUGCAGAAUUCCGUGAGUCAUCAAGUCUUUGAACGCAAUUGGCGCUAAGGGGUGACCUUUAGCAUGUUUUGGUGGGUGUGUGAAUGUGUUGCUGUGUUUGUUUCUGUUCUUUUGUAGUAUAUACAGGUGCAGAAGAACGAUAUGAAUACGAGUUAGUGUGGCAAGGAUGUGUAUGUAUGUCAUCAUAUCUGCUACGAGAUGAGUAUCGAAAGAAAGAGAUGUGUGUUUUGUGUGUAUGUAUGUGUAUAUCUUGGCAUGUACAAGUUUGGAUUGUGUGUCAUCCAAUCACUACCAAAUCGUCUUCCAACGAUCUACACAUACACAUAACCACACCUCCCACUAAUCAAACACCCCACCUAAAACAAGAAAACCCGCCGAACUUAA